rnacentral:rRNA from 1 species
CUACGGGAGGCAGCAGUGGGGAAUAUUGGACAAUGGGCGCAAGCCUGAUCCAGCCAUGCCGCGUGAGUGAUGAAGGCCCUAGGGUUGUAAAGCUCUUUCGCCAGGGACGAUAAUGACGGUACCUGGAUAAGAAGCCCCGGCUAACUUCGUGCCAGCAGCCGCGGUAAUACGAAGGGGGCUAGCGUUGUUCGGAAUCACUGGGCGUAAAGCGCACGUAGGCGGAUCUUUAAGUCAGGGGUGAAAUCCCGAGGCUCAACCUCGGAACUGCCUUUGAUACUGGAGGUCUCGAGUCCGGGAGAGGUGAGUGGAACUGCGAGUGUAGAGGUGAAAUUCGUAGAUAUUCGCAAGAACACCAGUGGCGAAGGCGGCUCACUGGCCCGGAACUGACGCUGAGGUGCGAAAGCGUGGGGAGCAAACAGGAUUAGAUACCCCGGUAGC